rnacentral:rRNA from 1 species
AUUUCUGAGUACUGGAGAGGAAAGUGGAAUUCUUAGUGUAGGGGGAAAUGCGUAGAUAUUAGGAGGAACACCAGUGGCGAAGGGGACUUUCUGGACAAGAAACUGACGUUGAGGCACGAAAGUGUGGGGAGCAAACAGGAUUAGAUACCCUGGUAGUCCACACCGUAAACGAUGGAUACUAGGUGUAGGGUAUAAUAAAUACUCUGUGCCGUCGCAAACGCAGUAAGUAUCCCACCUGGGGAGUACGGCCGCAAGGUUGGAACUCAAAGGAAUUGACGGGGGCCCGCACAAGCAGUGGAGUAUGUGGUUUAAUUCGACGCAACGCGAAGAACCUUACCAGGGCUUGACAUAUACAGGAAUAUAUAAGAGAUUAUAUAGCUCUUCGGAGUCUGUAUACAGGUGGUGCAUGGUUGUCGUCAGCUCGUGUCGUGAGAUGUUGGGUUAAGUCCCGCGACGAGCGCAACCCCUGUUUCUAGUUACCAGCACGUGAUGGUGGGGACUCUAGAGAGACUGCCGGUGAUAAAUCGGAGGAAGGUGGGGACGACGUCAAAUCAUCAUGCCCUUUAUGCCCUGGGCUACACACGUACUACAAUGGCUAUAACAAAGAGAAGCGAGACCGAGAGGUGGAGCAAAACUCAAAAAAGUAGUCUCAGUUCGGAUUGAAGGCUGAAAUUCGCCUACAUGAAGCCGGAAUUGCUAGUAAUGGCAGGUCAGCAUACUGCCGUGAAUACGUUCCCGGGCCUUGUACACACCGCCCGUCACACCAUGAGAGUUGGGAAUACCCGAAGCCUGUGAGCUAACGCAAGAGGCAGCAGUCGAAGGUAGAAUCAAUGAUUGGGGUGAAGUCGUAACAAAGGUAGCCGUAAAGCC